rnacentral:rRNA from 1 species
AUCUGGUUCAGGACGAACGCUGGCGGCGUGCCUAAUACAUGCAAGUCGAACGGUCUUUCUAUGGAAGCUUGCUUCCACUGAGAAGAUAGUGGCGAACGGGUGAGUAACACGUGGGUAACCUGCCCAUAAGAGGGGGGAUAACAUCCGGAAACGGGUGCUAAUACCGCAUAGUUUUUCUUGAUCGCAUGAUUGGGAAAGGAAAGACGGCCUUUGUGCUGUCGCUUAUGGAUGGACCCGCGGCGUAUUAGUUAGUUGGUGAGGUAACGGCUCACCAAGACGAUGAUACGUAGCCGACCUGAGAGGGUGAUCGGCCACAUUGGGACUGAGACACGGCCCAAACUCCUACGGGAGGCAGCAGUAGGGAAUCUUCCGCAAUGGACGAAAGUCUGACGGAGCAACGCCGCGUGAGUGAAGAAAGGUUUUCGGAUCGUAAAACUCUGUUGUCAGAGAAGAACAAGUUGGAGAGUAACUGCUCCAGCCUUGACGGUAUCUGACCAGAAAGCCACGGCUAACUACGUGCCAGCCGCAGC